rnacentral:rRNA from 1 species
AACAUGGGUAAUCUGUCCUGCACUCUGGGACAUUCCCUGGAAACGGGGUUUUUUACCGGUUACUAUUACUUAAGGCUUCUGAUGGGGGUGGAAAGCUCCGGCGGUUCAGGAGGAGGCCGCGGGCUAUCAACUUGUUGGGGAGGGAACGGCUCACCAAGGGGACCACUGGUUGCCGGUCUGAGAGGGCCACCGGCCACACUGGGACUGAGACACGGGCCAUACUUCUACGGGAGGCAGAGUGGGGAAUUUUGCACAAUGGGCGAAAUUCUGUUGCAGCGACGCCGUUGAGGGAUGACGGCCUUCGGGUUGUAAACCUCUUUCAGCAGGGAAGAAGCUAAAGUGACGGUACCUGCAGAAGAAGCGCCGGUUAACUACGUGCCAACAGCCGGGGUAAUACGUAGGGCGCAAGCGUUUCCGGAAUUAUUGGGCGUAAAAAGCUCGUAGGCGGCUUGUAACGUCCGAUGUUAAAGCCCUUGGCUUAACCCCGGGUCUGCAUUCGAUACGGGCAGGCUAGAGUUCGGUAGGGGAGAUCGGAAUUCAUGGUGUAGCGGUGAAAUGCGCAGAUAUCAGGAAGUAACACCGGUCGGCAAAGGCCCAUCUGUGGGCCGAUACUGACCCUGAGGAAUCGAAAGCGUGGGGGAGCAAACACGAUUAGAUACCCUGGUAGUCCACGCCGUAAACAAUUGGGAACUAUGGCGGGGGGGGACAUCGCCAUGAUCGUCCGUGCCGCCUUUAACUAACGCCAUCAAGUUCCCCGCUCUUGGGGACUACGGCCGCAUUAGGCUAAAACUCAAAGGAAUUGACGGGGGCCCGCACAAGCGGCGGAGCAUGUGGCUUAAUUCGACGCAACGCGAAGAACCUUACCAAGGCUUUACAUACACCGGAACACCCAGAGAUGGGUGCCCCCUUGUGGUCGGUGUACAGGUGGUGCAUGGCUGUCGUCAGCUCGUGUCGUUAGAUGUUGGGUUAAGUCCCACAACGAGCGCAACCCUUGUCCCGUGUUGCCAGCAGGCCCUUGUGGUGCUGGGGACUCACGGGAGGCCGCCGGGGUCUACUCGGAGGAAGGUGGGUGGGGCGUCAAGUCAUCAUUCCCCUUCUGUCUUGGUAUGCACUCGUGCUUCAAUGAACGGUACAAACAAAUGGUAUACCGUCAGGUGGAGAGAAUCUAAAAAAACCGGUCUCAGUUAGGAUUGGGGUCAGCAACUCACCCCCAUGCAGUCGGAGUCAAUAGUAAUUACAAAU